rfam:Ovis aries breed Texel chromosome 13, whole genome shotgun sequence.
UCCCUGGUGGCUCAGAUGGUAAAAGCGUCUGCCUCGAGUGCAGGAGACCCGGGUUCGAUCUCUGGGUCAGGAAG